UACGGGGGGGGGUAAGCGUUGUUCGGAAUUACUGGGCGUAAAGGGCUCGUAGGCGGCCAACUAAGUCAUACGUGAAAUCCCUCAGCUUAACUGGGGAACUGCGUGUGAUACUGGAUGGCUUGGAUGUGGGAGAGGGAUGCGGAAUUCCAGGUGUAGCGGUGAAAAUGCGUAGAUAUCAAGAGGAACACCUGAGGUGAAGACGGGGUUGCUGGGCCAAACACUGACGUGAUGCGCGAAAAGCCCAGGGGGAGCAAAACGGGG
rnacentral:rRNA from 1 species